UACGAGGGGGGCGAGCGUUGCUCGGAAUCACUGGGCGUAAAGCGCACGUAGGCGGAUUGUUAAGUCAGGGGUGAAAUCCUGGAGCUCAACUCCAGAACUGCCUUUGAUACUGGCGAUCUUGAGUCCGGGAGAGGUGAGUGGAACUGCGAGUGUAGAGGUGAAAUUCGUAGAUAUUCGCAAGAACACCAGUGGCGAAGGCGGCUCACUGGCCCGGUACUGACGCUGAGGUGCGAAAGCGUGGGGAGCAAACAGG
rnacentral:rRNA from 1 species